rnacentral:rRNA from 1 species
UACGUAGGGGGCUAGCGUUGUCCGGAUUUAUUGGGCGUAAAGAGCGUGUAGGCGGCCAGGUAGGUCUGCUGUGAAAACUCGAGGCUCAACCUCGAGAUGUCGGCGGAAACCAUCUGGCUAGAGUCCGGAAGAGGAGAGUGGAAUUCCUGGUGUAGCGGUGAAAUGCGUAGAUAUCAGGAGGAACACCGGUGGUGUAAACGGCUUUCUGGACCAUAACUGACGCUGAGGCACGAAAGCGUGGGUAGCAAACAGG